rnacentral:ncRNA from 1 species
AAUAAAAUAUUUUAUUAUGGUAAUGAAAUUUUAUUUUAAUUUUUUUUUUACAUUUAAUAAUUUUAAAUUAAUAAAAAUUUUAGAAAAAAUAAAUUUAAUAAAUUCUAAGUAAUUAAUAUUUUUAUUUAAUUAAUGUUUGAAUAAGAAAUAAUUUAAAGAAUUGAUAAAAUUUGUGCCAGCAAUCGCGGUUAUACAAAUAAUUCUAUUAAAAUUUAUUAAAAAUUAAGUAUUUAAAAAAAAUUAUAAAAAUAAUUAAUUUUAAAAAAUUAGGUGAAAUUUUUUUUUAAAAGUUAAAUUUUAUUUUAUUUUUAAAUUUUAAAUAAAUUUAAUUAAAAAACUAGGAUUAGAUACCCUAUUAUUUAAUAUAAAAAAUAUAAUUUUUAGGUAGUAAAAGAAAUUUUUUAAAAAAUAUUCUUAAAACUUAAAUAAUUUGGCGGUAUUUUAGACUAUUUAAAGGAACUUGUUAAUUAAAUGAUAAUCCACAUUUUACCUUACUUAAUUUAUUAAUUUGUAUAUCGUUGUCAUCAGAAUAUUUUAAAAGAAUUAAAUAAUUUUCUAAAUUUAAGUAAUUUUAAUAUGUCAAAUCAAGGUGCAGUUUAUAUUUAAGUUUUAAAAUGAGUUACAAUAAUUUUUAUUUAUGAAUUAUAAAUUUAAAAAGUUUUUAUGAAAUUGGAUUUAAAAGUAAAAUUAUAUAAUAAAAAUAGUUUGAUUUUAGCUCUAAAAUAUGCACAUAUCGCCCGUCGCUCUCGUUAUAUUUUUAUAAAAUGAGAUAAGUCGUAACAUAGUAGAUGUAUUGGAAAAUGCCUCUAGAAAAA